UAUUCUCAGGGCAGGGUGCAAGUCCCUACCGGCGGUAAAUUCAGGAAACUGAAAAGCCCGCGAGCGCCUGUUGAUCCAUCUGGAUCAGCAGGGUCAGCAGAUCCGGUGUAAAUCCGGAGCCGACGGUAAUAGUCCGGAUGGGAGAGGAUA
rnacentral:ncRNA from 1 species